rnacentral:rRNA from 1 species
GAACGCUGGCGGCGUGCCUAAUACAUGCAAGUCGAACGAGUUCUCGUUGAUGAUUGGUGCUUGCACCGAGAUUCAACAUGGAACGAGUGGCGGACGGGUGAGUAACACGUGGGUAACCUGCCCUUAAGUGGGGGAUAACAUUUGGAAACAGAUGCUAAUACCGCAUAGAUCCAAGAACCGCAUGGUUCUUGGCUGAAAGAUGGCGUAAGCUAUCGCUUUUGGAUGGACCCGCGGCGUAUUAGCUAGUUGGUGAGGUAACGGCUCACCAAGGCGAUGAUACGUAGCCGAACUGAGAGGUUGAUCGGCCACAUUGGGACUGAGACACGGCCCAAACUCCUACGGGAGGCAGCAGUAGGGAAUCUUCCACAAUGGACGCAAGUCUGAUGGAGCAACGCCGCGUGAGUGAAGAAGGCUUUCGGGUCGUAAAACUCUGUUGUUGGAGAAGAAUGGUCGGCAGAGUAACUGUUGCCGGCGUGACGGUAUCCAACCAGAAAGCCACGGCUAACUACGUGCCAGCAGCCGCGGUAAUACGUAGGUGGCAAGCGUUAUCCGGAUUUAUUGGGCGUAAAGCGAGCGCAGGCGGUUUUUUAAGUCUGAUGUGAAAGCCCUCGGCUUAACCGAGGAAGCGCAUCGGAAACUGGGAAACUUGAGUGCAGAAGAGGACAGUGGAACUCCAUGU